rnacentral:piRNA from 1 species
UGAGCUAGACUCGUGGUGACCAAAGC